GCUAACGUAGCUUAAACUAAAGUAUGACACUGAAGAUGUUAAGAUGGACCCUAGAAAGUCCCGCAAGCA
rnacentral:tRNA from 1 species